GUAGUAGCAAAUAUUCAAAUGAGAACUUUGAAGAGUGAAGUGGGGAAAUGUUCCAUGUGAACAUCACUUGGACAUGGGUUAGUCAAUCCUAAGAGAUGGGGAAUCCUUGUAUCAAGGGUGCACUCUGCAUUAACAUUGAAAGAGAAUUGGGUUCAUAUUCCCAAACCGAGACAUGGUGGUGGAUGAAAAUGUUAGGAAAUCUGGAGAUGUCAUCGGGGGCCUGGGAAGAGCUAUCUUUUCUUUUUAACGACUUUCCCACCCUAAAAUCGGUUCAACCAGAGAUAGGGUCCAACAUCUAGAAGAGAACCACAUGUCUUGCAGUGUUUUGUGCCCCCUCGAUGACCAUUGGAAAUAUGGAGAAUCGAGUACCAUCCAUGCCCGAGUACUUGGUAUUCCUCCACAAACUCAUUC
rnacentral:ncRNA from 1 species